CUCUUCGGAGCAUCUCCCCGAGAUGAGCCCAAAACUUGUCUCUCCGGAUCCGUAACUCGAGUGUAUCGGCCACCGCUUGCCCUUUGCAAGGGACUCAGGCCUCUAGGCUGUCACCCGCUUAAGGCCUUAACACUCCGCUUUCGAAAAUACUGGGUUGUGGACUGAGGGUAGACGUGAAAAAGUUACACGAUACACGGUAACAAAUCAGUAGCCAUAAAAAGUAUCGGUUCCUCCUCUUCCAAAUAGCGCCUGCUGUUGAGUAUUCCUUAACGAUCAUCAUUUUUUAAAAAAAUGAAAUACAGAACCUGGUUUGGACCCAUGAAAAUGAGUUGACCUUCAACCUUCCGACAUAUUGACCAAAAUCUUUGCAAAAUAAAAGCUUGUGCAGUAGGUGAAACAUUCAGGCAGUUGCGUCUUCAGAUGUUUUACAAAGCAUGGCAGAGAAUUUCACGAAGCAUGGGAGACAGUAUUUCACUGGGUAUUUUCUUACAUGCUUUGCGACGUGCUGUAUACAGAGCCAGACUUGCAGACUUGGGAGGAAAAGAAUUAAAUGAAAUUACAGUCAAGACAUCCCGUGCUGCUGGCCCGGAAAGGUGCACUGAUCACAGCCAUGCUCUCCCAAGGCAGACAUUAAUGACGUACCAAUUCAAAA